rnacentral:rRNA from 1 species
GAUGAACGCUAGCUACAGGCCUAACACAUGCAAGUCGAGGGACGGGCGCACGGGUACGUAACACGUAUCCAACCUGCCCUUUACUCUGGGAUAGUCUUUCGACAGAAAGAUUAAUACCCGUUCUAAAGGAUGGGGUUGCGUUACAUUAGGUUGUUGGUGAGGUAACGCCUCACCUAGCCUUAGAUGGAUAGGGGUUCUGAGAGGAAGCUACCCCACAUUGGAACUGAGACCCGGUCCAAACUCCGACGGGAGGCAGGAGUGAGGAAUAUUGGUCAAGAGGCGCUAGCCUGAACCAGCCAAGUAGCGUGAAGAAGGAAUGCUUAUGGGUCGUAAACUUCUGUUAUAUAAGAAUAUGUAUUAUAUGAAUAAGGAUCGGCUAACUCCGUGCCAGCAGCCGCGGUAAUUC